rnacentral:tRNA from 1 species
GGAGAGAUGCGAGAGCGGUUGAAUCGGGCGGUCUCGAAAACCGUUGAACCCUUAGGGUUCCGAGGGUUCGAAUCCCUCUCUCUCCG